rnacentral:tRNA from 2 species
GCCCUCGUAGCUCAGAUGGAUAGAGCAACGGACUUCUAAUCCGUCGGUCGUUGGUUCGAAUCCAACCGAGGGCAC